AACGAACGCUGGCGGCAGGCUUAACACAUGCAAGUCGAACGAGAAUCCCUUCGGGGAGGAAAGUGGCGCACGGGUGCGUAACACGUGGAUAACCAACCCAUUGGUUUGGGACAACACCGGGAAACUGGUGCUAAUACCAGAUGUGUCGCAGCUGUCUUCAGGCGGUUGCGAGAAAGGCCCGCAAGGGUCGCCAACGGACGGGUCCGCGUCCCAUCAGCUAGUUGGUGAGGUAAUGGCUCACCAAGGCAAAGACGGGUAGCUGGUCUGAGAGGAUGAUCAGCCACACUGGAACUGAGACACGGUCCAGACUCCUACGGGAGGCAGCAGUGGGGAAUAUUGCGCAAUGGGCGAAAGCCUGACGCAGCCACGCCGCGUGAGCGAUGAAGGUCUUCGGAUCGUAAAGCUCUGUGGGGGGAGAAGAAGAAAGCCGGUGAAGAGCCGGCCCUGACGGUAUCCCCUUAGCAAGCACCGGCUAACUCCGUGCCAGCAGCCGCGGUAAAG
rnacentral:rRNA from 1 species